ensembl:rRNA 5S_rRNA 5S ribosomal RNA
AUCUACAGCCAUGCUACCCUGAACAAGUCCAAUCCUGUCUGAUCUCAGAAGGGUUGGGCCUAGUUAGUACUUGGAUGGGAGACCACCUAGGAAGACCAGGUGCUGUAGGCG